AAGAAUGAGUCCAUGGCGUGUAUAUAUAGUUGAUGGUACAUCCGCACGCAUUUGUCAGUGUGUAUAACAGGACUAUAGGUGAAUGUAUUUAUUAUAAUGAACACAGUGCGUUCAUGUUUUAAUAUUUUUUUUUUUUUUUAAAAAUGAUUUAAUAUCAAUUAUUCCGGAAAAAACCUUCGAUAGCACAAGGGUUAUUUAGUAACAUUCUUUUCUCAUAAGUACGGAAUCACGCAAACAUAAUGUUAUUUUAUGUAGACUGUGUUACUACAACGGUGCCAAGACCAAUCUAUAAAUAGGCGAAACAGUAAAUGAAAAUAACAGAUACGCUAAUUACGCCUACAGUUCUACACUAUUAGAGUUAUUGCUGUUGACAAGGAAGAGAAACAGCUUGAGAAAAUCUCUACAAACAGCUGAAUAAGUUAAGAAAACCAGCCUGUGUAAAUAAUUCCUGGAAUAAGUGUAAUUGGAACAGCGCUUCUCUCCUCGUAUGGAAAUUGGAGUAGCAUAUUUUAUGGUAGGCAGAAAAUAAAUAAACCAUUCAUAACAAUCCGCAGUUUUAUGUAACUGUUCAGAAUGGAGGAACAUAAAGAUACGCCGACUCCACCUAAAGAUCCAAUGUCACCAAAAGAGCUACCACCACAGACCCCACCAACGAGUCCAUUAACUCGACAGGAUAGUAUUUCUGGGCCUUCUGGUCUAGGGCCUAUAGGUAUAGGCUUCGAUUGGGGAAUGCAGUAUGUUGAUAGAGAAAUGCUUGCUCUACGAAAAAAGAAGCUAAAACUACAAGUUGAAAACCUAAAACUACAGAAUCAGAAAUUGGAAAUGGAAAUAUAUACAUUACAGCUGAAGGAGGGAUGAUUAUCAAAUAACUUCCAAGCACAAUUAUAUUUAUAUAGAUUACUGCGCCUCGUGUUUAAUGAACAAUUAUUAUGUUAUAAAAUACUGACCAUAAAAUCAUUGCUAUUUAUAUCGGGUAUAAUCUACUAAAAUCAAGAUUAUUAAUUUCAGCAAGUAUUUGUGUUACUUAUGUAUAUAUUUUUGACAAAAAGAUACUUGAUACCAAGAUCUAAUAGGAGACUUAUUGGUCUAGGCUAUAAAUAAAAGAGCAGAAUGCAAAAGAUCUUUAGCAAUUUCAUUCUUGCAGUAAUUUAGGUUGUAUUCGUGUUAAGUUGUGGAAUCAUCGUGUUCUGGUAUACAGCUGUGUUAACUUAUUUUAUGUGAAAAGGAAUUUGUGUGCGAUAUUCCACGGUAUGAUAGAUCUUCACAACGACUGCCAUUGAAUAUAAUCAUCAUUAAAUAAUAGAAUGUAAAAAACAAAACAAAACGAUUUGCUUGCGGAAAUAACAUCCCAGAUAAUGCUUUAUGUAGUGUGUCUCUUUUUUAUGAUUGGUUAUUUACAAAAAUCCUGCUAGGAUUACUGCAAUCUUGUUAUUAUGUUGAAUUUGGAUGGCUCUCUUCAGCGAGCGGCUGAAUCAUUUUUCGCCUCACUUCAAGAAAAAGUUGCCCGUAUACUGUAUAAAUUAUGUCAUCGUUGAUCUCUCGACCUCGUUGAGAUAUCUGAUUGAAUGUUGACACACUUCUGUAUAUAAUCAAGUUUGCGUUUCGUGGGAUUUCAUUGAUUAUUUUUUUCGGAAAGUAUGGUCAUUGUUGAAAAUUCAGUUUCCCAAACUGUUUUUGGUUAAAUUUUGUGGGAAUUUGUAUAUUGUUUUAUAUAGUAGAGUUACAGACAAAUUUAGUGACAAUUCAGUUUUACAGAAUUUAUUCCAUCAAUACGAAAUUGGAUUAUAUAUGCACAUAUUAUGUAUUUAUGGCAUUGGGCUCUUAUAGAUGCACGCAUUGUAAAAUUUGUAUGGCCCGGUAGGGGGCAUUAAUUGCUUCAAUAAUACUCUUAGAAUCUU